rnacentral:lncRNA from 1 species
AGCAGCACCCUGAGGGGUGUCCUGGAGUCUUAAGGGCUUACUGGGAGCACUGGGAGUUACUGGACGGGGUCUGGGCCUUAGUGGCUAUUGCUACUGAUCCAUACUGGUUUAUACUGGUCCUUACUGGUUUGUACUGGCGCUGUGCAGCACGGUGACCGGGACGCUCUCCACCCGCGCCGUGCUGCAGACCGUGGGGGUCGGGGACAGCGCGGCCACCGCCACCGGGGCCACCCUCACCUGGGUGCUGCGCGAUGGGGUGGGGAUGGUGACGCGCAUCGUCUUCGCCUGGCUCCAGGGGUGAGCACUGGGGGCACUGGGAGGGACUGGGAGCACUGGGAGGGACUGGGAGGGGUCAUUGGGGUUACUGGGAGGGACUGGGAGGGGUCACUGAGGGGACUGGGAGGGACUGGGAGCACUGGGAGGGACUGGGAGGGGUCACUGGGGUUACUGGGAGGGACUGGGAGGGGUUAUUGGGGUUACUGGAAGUUACUGGGAGCACUGGGAGGGAUUAUUGGGAUUACUGGGAGCACUGGGAGUUACUGGGAGGGUUCACUUGGGUUACUGGGAUGUACUGGGAGAGGCUACUGGGAGCACUGGGAGGGGCUACUGGUUGUUACUGGUUAUCACUGGGGCCCUUCUUGGUCCAUACCAGUCCAUACUGGUCCAUACUGGUUUAUAUUGGUCUAUAUUGGUUAUAGGGGGUCUGUACUGGUCUAUACUGGUUUAUACUGGUCCAUGCUGGUCUGUAUUGGGCCAUACUGGUUUAUGCUGGUCCGUAUUGUUUGGUACCGGUCCAUACUGGUUGGCACUGAUCUGUACUGGUCCAUACUGGUUUAUACUGGUCCAUACUGAUAGGUACUGGUUCAUACUGGUUGGUACUGGUCUGUAUGGGUCCAUACUGGUCUAUACUGGCCUGGUUUGUACGGGUCCAUACUGGUUUAUGCUGGUUUAUACUGGGCCAUACUGGUUUAUGGUGGUCCAUACUGGUUUAUACUGGGCCACACUGGUUUAUACUAGGUGGUACCAGUCCAUACUGGUCCAUGCUGGUUUAUGCUGGGCCAUACUGGUUUAUACUGGUCUAUACUGGUUGGUACCAGUCCAUACUGGUCCAUUCUGAUCCAUAUUGGUUGGUACCAGUCCAUGCUGGUCCGUACUGGUUUAUACCGGUCCAUACUGAUUUAUACUGAUCUGUCCUGGUCCAUACUGGUCCAUACUGGUUUAUAUGGGUCCAUACUGGUUGGUACCAGUCCAUACUGGUCCAUACUGGUUGGUACCAGUCCAUACUGGUUUAUACCGGUCCAUACUGCUUGAUACUGAUCUGUACUGGUCCAUACUGGUUUAUACUGGUCCAUACUGGUUGGUACUGAUUUAUACUGGUCCAUACUGGUUUAUACUGGUUUAUACUGGUCCAUACUGGUUAGUACCAGUCCAUACUGGUCCAUACUGGUUGGUACUGAUCUGUACUGGUCCAUACUGGUUUAUACUGGUCCAUACUGGUUGGUACUGAUUUGUACUGGUCCAUACUGGUUUAUACUGGUUUAUACUGGUCCAUACUGGUUAGUACCAGUCCAUACUGGUCCAUACUGGUUGGUACUGAUCUGUACUGGUCCAUACUGGUUUACACUGGUCCAUACUGGUUGGUACUGAUCUAUACUGGUCCAUACUGGUUUAUACUGGUCUGUACUGUU